ACCUCAUCGAUAACGCCCUGAGCAAAAAGCCACAGGUCGUGCAGAUCGAUCCGACCGACAAAUCGUUCAAGACGUCGGGCUGCCAGCCCUGGCAGCUGACUCCCGAUGCCACUCCGCCCGCCAACACACCGCCUCCCGGUGUGCAGGGCACCCUCGGCAUCCUCAACGGGCUGCUCGGCGGCCAGAAUGGCCAGCAAGCC
rnacentral:ncRNA from 1 species